rnacentral:tRNA from 1 species
ACCGCUGUAGCUCAGUGGACAGAGCAGGGACCUCCUACGUCCCGUGCCGGGGGUUCGAUUCCUCCCAGCGGUGC